ACAUGCCUACAAUAUAGAGUUAAUGCACCGAAUCCCAUUAGAACUCCGCAGUUAAGCGCGCUUAGGCUAGAGUAGUAUUGGGAUGGGUGAUCACUCGGGAAUUCCUAGUGUUUUACAUGCC
rnacentral:rRNA from 1 species